AUGGCAGCCACAAGUGGUGCUAAAUUAGAAAGUGAACACGCCUCUGCGUCCCAGAAUCGAUCGAAAUCUACCUCGAGAAAAUCGUCCAGAGACCGACGAUCUCCUAUCCAUCUGACGCCGAACGGACAGGCGCCGAAAGGCUUCCCAGAUGCGAAAAGUGAGAAACCCUCCGAGGACAGGCUCACACCGGGCUCCUCUCCUCUUUCCAAUCAGGAAAAAGUCCUGAAGGAGCCCGACAAUCAGCCAAAAUCACCAGCCGAGCUGAAACCGCCUUCCACGCCUUCGAUCAACACCAACUCCACGAGAAACGAAACGAGGACCCCACCAGAUAGCACAGACAAUAACGACAAUAAAAUCGAACAAAAACUCACCCCUAACCAUACGCCAGAAAAGGACAAUCCACCCCCGAGAAAAACUCCCGAAAAAGUCGAGGAGGUUAAAAUUGAGUCCCCAGGGCUAAGACCUAAAACUGCGGAAAAUAGGGGUGAAAAUCAGAUCCGACCUGACUCGGUUGAACAGAGACCUAUCAAACCUAGCGGUGCUAGCUUAGAAAAAACACUAUCCAUCGAAAAUUCCAGUAAUCAACCUUCAAAGGACGAGCCCAAAAGGUUACCAGAGGUUAACAGGCCAGACCCUCCAAAACCGACCAGUCCUAAUACCUUCCCUGAAAAACCACCAACCCCAAUAUCCGCCAAACCCCCCACGCCGACUGCCCCUAGUAAGCCUGCCACCCCUAGCCCCGCUCCGACAGGCAACCCCACUAAUUCGAAACCCCCAACCCCACAAGAACAAAGAUUCUCCGAAUCCCCACAGAGGGAUCCUGUCGUGACCCCUCAACCUUUCACGAGGUCGGAGCCCCCUAAAAAUAUACCCAGGCCCGCGACGGGUGAGCGGCGGGUGGAGCCCCAAAAAUCAUCCCCGGACUUCUCGCCGAAAUUCGGGAUCAGAGAACCCCCUUCCCCGAAAGAUUUAGGGAGGAAAUUAGUAACAGCACCAGGUGAGGUUAGGUUUGAUGACGCCGGAAAAAGAAUGAGCACAUCGCCGGGGAAAGUGCCGGAUUCGAACCGGUUCGACAGACCGGAAUCGCGGGGCGAACCGGUCGCGAGACCCAAAACAUCGGACGCCGCGCCGAAGAUGGUCAAACCGAUGGACAGUAUGCCUGGCCAGAGACAGGAACAGUAUCAAACCAUGAGGAACCUGGCUGAAAAAGGUCGAGGGGGCACACCGGGGGAUUUUAGGCAGGAUUCUAUUGGGGAUCGAACCUCCGAACCACCUCGGUCUGCACCGCCCAUGGUUAAGAAACCGGUUGCCGGGCCGCCUCCGGAAUAUUAG
rnacentral:lncRNA from 1 species